rnacentral:rRNA from 1 species
GAGUUUGAUCCUGGCUCAGAUUGAACGCUGGCGGCAGGCCUAACACAUGCAAGUCGAGCGGAUGACGGGAGCUUGCUCCUUGAUUCAGCGGCGGACGGGUGAGUAAUGCCUAGGAAUCUGCCUGGUAGUGGGGGACAACGUUUCGAAAGGAACGCUAAUACCGCAUACGUCCUACGGGAGAAAGCAGGGGACCUUCGGGCCUUGCGCUAUCAGAUGAGCCUAGGUCGGAUUAGCUAGUUGGUGGGGUAAUGGCUCACCAAGGCGACGAUCCGUAACUGGUCUGAGAGGAUGAUCAGUCACACUGGAACUGAGACACGGUCCAGACUCCUACGGGAGGCAGCAGUGGGGAAUAUUGGACAAUGGGCGAAAGCCUGAUCCAGCCAUGCCGCGUGUGUGAAGAAGGUCUUCGGAUUGUAAAGCACUUUAAGUUGGGUAGGAAGGGCAGUAAGUUAAUAACCUUGCUGUUUUGACGUUUACGGACAGAAUAAGCACCGGCUAACUCUGUGCCAGCAG